rnacentral:lncRNA from 1 species
UGACCUCUUGAAGCUCAGUCUGAGCUGGGAAGGUCGGUCCCCUCCUCAUGUUAGCCAUCUUUUCCCAGAGAACAGCAACGAACACAACACCCGCAACCUACACAGGAACAAGCCAACAUGCCCAGAGAUGGUCAGUCGUAUUGGGAUAACAGUUCUAGCCUGAGGCGAAUCAUGAAGAUACCGAACCUCACCACCCUUUAUCCAUAUGGGGAUCCAUCCGUGUUUCCUGAGAAUAGUGAAGUGAACAUUCUGGGAGUGGAUGGGGUCAUGUACAAAGGCAGGAUGGCCUCUCGUGGUGCUCCACAUUCUGUUAUUACUGAGAAGGACCUGGCAGGAUUAAAGAGCCCAAGGGCCCCAUCAUCCCGCAGUGCAUGUGAGCAUAUACGUUCCAGUGUCUCUGGUGCCAUGUACCCUGCCAAGAACCUAUUCCUUCUUCCCAAGUUUAGUUUCCUGUCUAAACUGCCUUGGAAGCCAGUGACUCCUGGAUUCCUGGUCUCUCCUCCCCUUGCUCCUACCACAGAUGAAUAUUUUUGGAAACUUCUACUCAGAAUAAAAUGUAUCUUUUUUUUUCACUUUGGAUGAAGAGAAAGUAUCUUGGGACCACACACUGAGGGUGGGGCUUGCUUUCCACACUCAUGUACAGAAGAAUUCCCCCUUCUUCCCCAGACAACUGGGGGGAGGGGAGAAGGAAGAGAAAAAAAGGAAGCCUUACAAGAGGUUGGCUUCCACCCUCCCUUCAGGGCCCACCAUUGUCACUGUGCUUAGCUCUGCUCAAUCACUUGCCUAGACCUGGCAAUUAUCAGAGCCCCUCUAUCAUUGUGCCUUGAGGUCAUUCCCCUCCCAACCCCCCAGCCGAAGAAAAGGUGGUCUCAUUAUGGGCAUUGAUGGGUCAAGUAAGGACACUGGUCAGAGGGUGCAGUACCCAGAGGAAUGCUUGCUUCCAGUCCACCUUAGGAAGGUACUGCUCUCUCAAGUCCCUCCAUGACCCUAACCAAGUGGAAAAGACAAAGAGCAAGUCAUCUUGAAGAAGAAGAAUGGGAGACAGGAUGGUACAGUAGAAAGAGGUCUGACCUUGGAGACACAGAAACAACCCUGCCAAAUACUACCUGAAUUAACUUUGAACUGGUCACUUCACCUCUCUAUGGAAAUGAUGAGGUUGGACUAGAUGACUUCUUAGGUCCCUUCAACUUAAAAUCUAUGAUCAUCUUAUAAGAGGAGUGUUUCCAGUGAGACUCACAUAGAUGAACCAUGGCUGGAUUCCAUAGGGGCUAGGAUUCUGCACCCACUUCCUUUUCCUACCCAGACACAUGGUUCAAUCUUGGGAGCCUGGCCUCUGAUGAGAGGAGUGACAAGGCUCUCUUCUCACAUGCUUCAUCUUAUUCAACCUCAACUCUGGUGCUCAAGGGACAAGUUUAUGUACAGCUUAGAUUAGAGUUCACACAUGGAGUUUCCCCAGAAAGAAUAAAACGAUACCAG